AUUGAACGCUGGCGGCAUGCCUUACACAUGCAAGUCGAACGGCAGCGGGGGAGAAGCUUGCUUUUCCUGCCGGCGAGUGGCGAACGGGUGAGUAAUACAUCGGAACGUGCCCUGUAGUGGGGGAUAACUAGUCGAAAGAUUAGCUAAUACCGCAUACGACCUGAGGGUGAAAGUGGGGGACCGCAAGGCCUCAUGCUAUAGGAGCGGCCGAUGUCUGAUUAGCUAGUGGGGGGGGUAAAGGCAUACAAAGGCGACGAUCAGUAGCUGGUCUGGGAGGACGUUCAGCCAAACGGGGACUGAGACACGGCCCAGCCUCCUACGGGAGGCAGCAGUGGGGAAUUUUGGACAAUGGGCGAAAGCCUGAUCCAGCAAUGCCGCGUGUGUGAAGAAGGCCUUCGGGUUGUAAAGCACUUUUGUCCGGAAAGAAAUGGCUCUGGUUAAUACCUGGGGUCGAUGACGGUACCGGAAGAAUAAGGACCGGCUAACUACGUGCCAGCCGCCGCCGUAAGAC
rnacentral:rRNA from 1 species